rnacentral:rRNA from 1 species
CCUACGGGAGGCAGCAGUAGGGAAUCUUCCGCAAUGGACGAAAGUCUGACGGAGCAACGCCGCGUGAGUGAUGAAGGCUUUCGGGUCGUAAAACUCUGCUGUUAGGGAAGAACAAGUACAAGAGUAACUGCUUGUACCUUGACGGUACCUAACCAGAAAGCCACGGCUAACUACGUGCCAGCAGCCGCGGUAAUACGUAGGUGGCAAGCGUUAUCCGGAAUUAUUGGGCGUAAAGCGCGCGCAGGCGGUUUCUUAAGUCUGAUGUGAAAGCCCACGGCUCAACCGUGGAGGGUCAUUGGAAACUGGGGAACUUGAGUGCAGAAGAGAAAAGCGGAAUUCCACGUGUAGCGGUGAAAUGCGUAGAGAUGUGGAGGAACACCAGUGGCGAAGGCGGCUUUUUGGUCUGUAACUGACGCUGAGGCGCGAAAGCGUGGGGAGCAAACAGGAUUAGAUACCCUGGUAGUCCACGCCGUAAACGAUGAGUGCUAAGUGUUAGAGGGUUUCCGCCCUUUAGUGCUGCAGCUAACGCAUUAAGCACUCCGCCUGGGGAGUACGGUCGCAAGACUGAAACUCAAAGGAAUUGACGGGGGCCCGCACAAGCGGUGGAGCAUGUGGUUUAAUUUGAAGCAACGCGAAGAACCUUAC